AUUAACACACCUUGAAAUAAUACAAACAAUGAACAACCAGACAUUUCACUAUAUUAACACACGGAACUUUACAUUUCUUCCCACAACAACCGGACAUUUCACUCUAUUAACACACCUUGAAAUAGAACAACCAGACAUUUCACUAUAUUAACACACCUUGAAAUAAAACAAACAAUGAACAACCAGACAUUUCACUAUAUUAACACACCUUGAAAUAAAACAAACAA